rnacentral:lncRNA from 1 species
CAACCAUUCUCCAAGGAGCCCAGAUUCCUUUACUGGAGGACAGUGUUGAGAGACCAGGAUGUGGCCACAGCCUGUGCUUGCUGUCGCUGAAGCUGCAGCUUCAGCUCUGUCAGCAGCUGGAGCCAGGAGAGGAGAGGAGGGUCCGUGACUCACGUGUGCAUGCACGUGCAGGUGAUGCGCCUGCUCCUCCGCCUUCUGCCACGAUUGGAAGCUCCCUGAGGCCUUCCUAGAAGCAGAUGCCAGCACCAUGCAUUCUGUGCAGCCUGCAGAACCAUGAGCCAAAAUAAAC